GGUUUUUAGUGUGAAUUGGAGAUUUUUUCUGCUCAAUGAGUGUUUAAAUGGCCGCGGUAAAUUGACUGUGCAAAGGUAGCAUAAUAAUUAGUUUAUUAAUUGUAAAUUUGAAUGAAUGAAAUGAUGAAAUAUGGGCUGUCUUAUUAAUAAAUAUUUGAAUUUUACUUUAGAGUUAAAAGGCUUUAAUGAACUAAGGGGACGAGAAGACCCUAUAGAAUUUGGAUUUUUAUUUGAUUGUUUGUUGAUUUAAAUAUGAGAAGAUAUGGUUGGAUUUUGAUUUUGUUGGGGAGAUAGUUAGAAUUUGGGAACUUUUAUUUAUAAUUUUUCAUAUUUUAGUUGAGUAAAUUUUUGUUAAUGAUCUUUUUUUAUGAUUAGAAGAUUAAAUUACCUUAGGGAUAACAGUGUUAUUUAUAUGGAGAGUUCUAAUCAAUAUAUAAGUUUGCGACCUCGAUGUUGAAUUAAGAUAAAUGUUUGGAGGAGGAUUUAGAUUGUUAGGUCUGUUCGACCUUUAAAAUCUUACA
rnacentral:rRNA from 1 species